AGCAGGAGUAGCAAAACAGACUUUUUCCACAGAAUAUCCUAGAAGGUUUAUCCUAGAAGGGAUUAACAAUAUUUCAGGGCCACCACAGUAAGAUACUGACCAUGGGAGAGUGCAUCUCAGUCCGUGUUCUGCUGAUGUUUCUGGCCCUAAUCAGCUAUCUAAUUGCACUGACAUUCAACAUAUUGGCUCUAUUUGGGCCCUGGACAGGUGCUUUCAUGCAAACCACACAAUAUGUACUGAGCAAGUCCACAACUCACCUAACCCCGGAUAGAUGGGUACUCUUUCUAUGGGAUGUCCUUAAUGUCUGGUUGAUCGGCAUGUUCAUCUAUCUGAUACACAAUCUCCGUAGAAGGGAAGCCUAUACAUGGAUGUACACCACUCCUGCUGUCCUGCCCUAUGGAUUCUACUUGUCCUGGAUCGUAAAUAGCAUGUUGAAUAUGGCAUGGUUAUUUCUGUAUGACAAAGAGUGCAAAACGGAGUGGCUUUGUAUGCAACAUGGUGGGCUGUAGCUACCUUUUUACACUUGACCGUUGUUUUAGACCUUCAAACCCCAAUACCCAAGACAGAUGCUGCAAUAAUGUUACUAGUGCUGCUCCAAUUGGGACUCAUAGGAUGGUGAGAGUUUGUUCCUAACUUUUAUCUAACCUCUCAAUUCGCCCAAGUGGUAUUGAAUCAAUAAUACAUAUAGCUUAAUAAACCAGUUCUGCUUUGCCAGUAGUGUUUCCAUUGCAAAUUGAUGAACAGUGCAUUUACUUGAUAUAUACUGUAUAAACUAUGACAGUGGCAUGACAAUGAUAUGGUGGCCCUUAGGGGCAAAGUAGCUUUAAAAUGUAAAAGCUAAUUUGCCGCUUAGGGCCACCAUACAAUCACCAGAACCCUUUCCUUCUAUCCGCUUAUUGUAAACAUGGGCCUUAUUGUUUUAGAUUUUCUUCCUCCUUAUUACUCUCUCAGGUUUGUCAUAGAGAACUGGUACCUGGAUAAGCACAUGCGUUACAUCCUAACAGUGUACCCUGUGGUGAUCCUGGUGUUGUCAGCAAGUGUGGCCAAUCCAGCCACGCCCGGUACCCAUAUAGACAUCAUGUCUGGUAGGCCCUAUGUUCUAACUGACUCCUAAAGUGACACCUAGAGGAAGAUAACAUCUGUACAGUGUUUAUAUUAGGACAGCUGAGGCUCCUAAUAUGGAUACCUUACACAUGCAUUAUUAGUAGAUUCCCAUCGGUCUUGUACAAGCAUAUCAUCCUUAACUGCAGAUGAUAAGAUGUUAUAUUUACUGUUAUAUUUACUGCAUGUAAGUAUAAUGAGAACUGGGUAUAGUUUAUGCUAUUGGCAAUGUUUACAAGUGUCACUUAUGUGUGUAUCACUAUCAGUAGUCACUGCAGUGACUUUUCCAUUGUUAUUAUGGCUACUGUACCUGAAGCAUCAUCUAUUUUCCAGCUGUCAUCUUGGCCAUAACCAGAGUCAUAUUUAUUGUACGCAUCAUCAUGGUGUUAUGGAAGCACAAGAAUAAACCGCUUUACGGAGAAGAGCAGCUCAUGUCACCGGUGGACAUUGCCAGG